rnacentral:rRNA from 1 species
AAAUUGAAGAGUUUGAUCAUGGCUCAGAUUGAACGCUGGCGGCAGGCCUAACACAUGCAAGUCGAACGGUAACAGGAAGCAGCUUGCUGCUUUGCUGACGAGUGGCGGACGGGUGAGUAAUGUCUGGGAAACUGCCUGAUGGAGGGGGAUAACUACUGGAAACGGUAGCUAAUACCGCAUAACGUCGCAAGACCAAAGAGGGGGACCUUCGGGCCUCUUGCCAUCGGAUGUGCCCAGAUGGGAUUAGCUAGUAGGUGGGGUAACGGCUCACCUAGGCGACGAUCCCUAGCUGGUCUGAGAGGAUGACCAGCCACACUGGAACUGAGACACGGUCCAGACUCCUACGGGAGGCAGCAGUGGGGAAUAUUGCACAAUGGGCGCAAGCCUGAUGCAGCCAUGCCGCGUGUAUGAAGAAGGCCUUCGGGUUGUAAAGUACUUUCAGCGGGAGGAAGGGAGUAAAGUUAAUACCUUUGCUCAUUGACGUUACCCGCAGAAGAAGCACCGGCUAACUCCGUGCCAGCAGCCGCGGUAAUACGGAGGGUGCAAGCGUUAAUCGGAAUUACUGGGCGUAAAGCGCACGCAGGCGGUUUGUUAAGUCAGAUGUGAAAUCCCCGGGCUCAACCUGGGAACUGCAUCUGAUACUGGCAAGCUUGAGUCUCGUAGAGGGGGGUAGAAUUCCAGGUGUAGCGGUGAAAUGCGUAGAGAUCUGGAGGAAUACCGGUGGCGAAGGCGGCCCCCUGGACGAAGACUGACGCUCAGGUGCGAAAGCGUGGGGAGCAAACAGGAUUAGAUACCCUGGUAGUCCACGCCGUAAACGAUGUCGACUUGGAGGUUGUGCCCUUGAGGCGUGGCUUCCGGAGCUAACGUGUUAAGUCGACCGCCUGGGGAGUACGGCCGCAAGGUUAAAACUCAAAUGAAUUGACGGGGGCCCGCACAAGCGGUGGAGCAUGUGGUUUAAUUCGAUGCAACGCGAAGAACCUUACCUGGUCUUGACAUCCACGGAAGUUUUCAGAGAUGAGAAUGUGCCUUCGGGAACCGUGAGACAGGUGCUGCAUGGCUGUCGUCAGCUCGUGUUGUGAAAUGUUGGGUUAAGUCCCGCAACGAGCGCAACCCUUAUCCUUUGUUGCCAGCGGUCCGGCCGGGAACUCAAAGGAGACUGCCAGUGAUAAACUGGAGGAAGGUGGGGAUGACGUCAAGUCAUCAUGGCCCUUACGACCAGGGCUACACACGUGCUACAAUGGCGCAUACAAAGAGAAGCGACCUCGCGAGAGCAAGCGGACCUCAUAAAGUGCGUCGUAGUCCGGAUUGGAGUCUGCAACUCGACUCCAUGAAGUCGGAAUCGCUAGUAAUCGUGGAUCAGAAUGCCACGGUGAAUACGUUCCCGGGCCUUGUACACACCGCCCGUCACACCAUGGGAGUGGGUUGCAAAAGAAGUAGGUAGCUUAACCUUCGGGAGGGCGCUUACCACUUUGUGAUUCAUGACUGGGGUGAAGUCGUAACAAGGUAACCGUAGGGGAACCUGCGGUUGGAUCACCUCCUUACCUUAAAGAAGC